rnacentral:rRNA from 1 species
UUGAAAGGGAAACGAUUGAAGUAGUGUACANGGGAAAUAAUUUUGAGUGGGGGUUUUGGAGUUUUGAAGAGUGUAAAAGUUUGAGAUUUAAAAAUUNGUUUUUGGUGUAUUUUGUGGGUAGGUUANNNNAUUUUGANNNAUAAAAAGAUUGGAGGAAUGUAGUUGAUUUGUAUUGAAGUGUUAUAGUUUUGGUAAAUGUGAUGAUUAGGAUGAGGAUUGAAGAAUACUUUUAGGUAUUGUUGAGUUGAAAGUUAUUAGGUGUGAAAGUGUUAUGGUAUUUAAGUUGAGGUAAUAGGUUAGAAGUGAAAAUCGUUAAGGAUGUUGACGUA